rnacentral:rRNA from 1 species
AUUGAACGCUGGCGGCAGGCUUAACACAUGCAAGUCGAACGGUAGCAGGAGAAAGCUUGCUUUCUUGCUGACGAGUGGCGGACGGGUGAGUAAUGCUUGGGAAUCUGGCUUAUGGAGGGGGAUAACUACGGGAAACUGUAGCUAAUACCGCGUAAUAUCGAAAGAUUAAAGUGUGGGACCUUCGGGCCACAUGCCAUAAGAUGAGCCCAAGUGGGAUUAGGUAGUUGGUGGGGUAAAGGCCUACCAAGCCGACGAUCUCUAGCUGGUCUGAGAGGAUGACCAGCCACACUGGAACUGAGACACGGUCCAGACUCCUACGGGAGGCAGCAGUGGGGAAUAUUGCGCAAUGGGGGGAACCCUGACGCAGCCAUGCCGCGUGAAUGAAGAAGGCCUUCGGGUUGUAAAGUUCUUUCGGUAUUGAGGAAGGUUGAUGUGAUAAUAGUACAUCAAAUUGACGUUAAAUACAGAAGAAGCACCGGCUAACUCCGUGCCAGCAGCCGCGGUAAUACGGAGGGUGCGAGCGUUAAUCGGAAUAACUGGGCGUAAAGGGCACGCAGGCGGUUAUUUAAGUGAGGUGUGAAAGCCCCGGGCUUAACCUGGGAAUUGCAUUUCAGACCGGGUAACUAGAGUACUUUAGGGAGGGGUAGAAUUCCACGUGUAGCGGUGAAAUGCGUAGAGAUGUGGAGGAAUACCGAAGGCGAAGGCAGCCCCUUGGGAAUGUACUGACGCUCAUGUGCGAAAGCGUGGGGAGCAAACAGG